AUAGAAAAGUUCCAAAGCACCUCCCACCAGGCUCAAAGACGUCUCCACCCCACUGUUACAAGGCUAGUUAAUGGUUCCCUGGUGCCACAAGAUGGACACUUGCCCUCACAAUCCACCUCAUUAUGAUCUUGCACCCUAUUGGCUACGUGCCCUGCACUCUGUGACUGUGACACUUGAUCCUGCACAGUGGUUUUGAUCUGUGUGAACAGCUUUUCCCUGCGUCUCAGUACAUGGCAACAAUAUUAAACCAACACUUCCCCUCACCGAGCACGCCCAGGGAGAGGGGGAGAGAGAGAACGGAGUCGGACAGGAAUGGGUGGAGCCCUUCCCUCGGUUCUGUCGCUUAGGUCCUUAAACUUAAUACCAGAGCAGAGGAAUUAAAGAGACGAGUUUAUACAGAACCGCGCUUGCACCAAAUGUUAAACUUAACUGUAUGAUUGUGCUGAGAUUUACCGCCUGUCAUGACAGUAGACGGCCACGCAGCGAACCCUCCCCCGAACUUCAUCCCUCCAAGAACGCAUCGCUCAGUUAGCAAAUAAACAGUGUUUAUAUGUAUUUUUUUAAAAGAGAACUGUAGGUGCAGACAGCGUGAGAUUCUUCCGAGAAUGCCUCUGUCGAGUGCGACACCGGGCAACUUUGCGGAGAACUCCUACACUGCAUGAGAUUCAGACUGGAUGGGGUGAGCAGCGACGAUUGAGAACAAUGGUGCGAGGCUCCGUGCCCCAGCUGCUGCUCAGUUGACAAAUUCCAUGACACAUGCCGGCGAUAAUAAACCUGAUUCUGCAGAUGCUGGAGAUCUUGAGUGACGCACGCACAGACAAACUGCUGAAGGAACUCAACCCUUCCUUGAUGGUGGCAAUGAGAAGAGGGCAUGUUUCUGGGUGAUGGGGCAGCCUUGGAAGGUGUUCUUGAUGUUGGGGAUGCUGUUGCCCAUGAAGGAGCUGGCUGCAUUUGCAACUUUCUGCAGCUUUUCCUGACCCUGUGCAGUGGCCCCUCAUACCAGACGGUGAUACAACCAGUCAGGGUGCUCUCCACAGUACAUCUGUAGAAAUCUGCUAAAGUCUUUAGUGACAAACCAAGUCUCUUCAAACUCCUAUUGAAAUGUAGACACUGGCAUGGACUCUUUGUAAUUGCAUCGGUAUUCCAGGAACUUGAAACUGCUCACCCUUUCCAGUUCUGAUUCCUUGAUGUCACCUGGUGUGUGUUCCCUUUCUGAAGUCACAAUCACUUCCUUGGUGUUGAGUGCAAAGUUGUUUUUGUAACUGUGUGUGUGUGUGUGUGUGAGUGUGUGUGUGUGUGUGAGAGAGAGAGUGUGUGUGUGUGAGAGUGUGUGUGAGUGUGUGUGUGUGUGUGUGUGUGAGUGUAUGUGUGUGUGUGAGAGAGAGUGUGUGUGUGUGUGAGAGAGUGUGUGUGUGAGAGAGUGUGUGUGUGUGAGAGAGUGUGUGUGUGAGAGAGUGUGUGUGUGAGUGUGAGUGUGUGUGUGUGAGUGUAUGUGUGUGAGUG